rnacentral:rRNA from 1 species
AUCGAACGCUGGCGGCAGGCUUAACACAUGCAAGUCGAACGAGUGGCGGACGGGUGUGUAAUGCUUGGGAAUCUAGCUCAUGGAGGGGGAUAACUUCGGGAAACUGUAGCUAAUACCGCGUACCAUAGGAUGAGCACACGGGGGAUUUGGUAGUUGGGGGGGUAAAGGCGCACCAAGCCGACGAUCCCUAGCUGGUCUGAGAGGAUGACCAGCCACACUGGGACUUGGACACGGCCCUGACUCCUACGGGAGGCAGCGGGGGGGAAUAUAGCGCAAGGGGGGCAGCCUGACGCAGCCAUGCCGCGUGAAUGAAGAAGGCCUUCGGGUUGUAAGGUUCUUUCGGUAGCGAGGCGUUAACUACAGAAGAAGCACCGGCUAACUCCGUGCCAGCAGCCGCGGUAAUUC